GGUUAAGCGAACAAGCGUACACGGUGGAUGCCCUGGCAGUCAGAGGCGAUGAAGGACGUGCUAAUCUGCGAAAAGCGCCGGUAAGGUGAUAUGAACCGUUAUAACCGGCGAUGUCCGAAUGGGGAAACCCGGUGCACUUCGGUGCAUCAUCGUUAGCUGAAUACAUAGGCUAACGAGGCGAACCGGGGGAACUGAAACAUCUAAGUACCCCGAGGAAAAGAAAUCAACCGAGAUUCCCCCAGUAGCGGCGAGCGAACGGGGAACAGCCCAGAGCCUGAAUCAGCUUGUGUGUCAGUGGAACGGUCUGGAAAGGCCGGCGAUACAGGGUGACAGCCCCGUACACGAAGGCACACAGGCUGUGAGCUCGAUGAGUAGGGCGGGACACGUGAUAUCCUGUCUGAAGAUGGGGGGACCAUCCUCCAAGGCUAAAUACUCCUGACUGACCGAUAGUGAACCAGUACCGUGAGGGAAAGGCGAAAAGAACCCCGGCGAGGGGAGUGAAACAGAACCUGAAACCGUGUACGUACAAGCAGUGGGAGCCUUCGUAAGAGGGUGACUGCGUACCUUUUGUAUAAUGGGUCAGCGACUUAUAUUCUGUAGCAAGGUUAACCGUAUAGGGGAGCCGAAGGGAAACCGAGUCUUAACCGGGCGUUAAGUUGCAGGGUAUAGACCCGAAACCCGGUGAUCUAGCCAUGGGCAGGUUGAAGGUUGGGUAACACUAACUGGAGGACCGAACCGACUAAUGUUGAAAAAUUAGCGGAUGACCUGUGGCUGGGGGUGAAAGGCCAAUCAAACCGGGAGAUAGCUGGUUCUCCCCGAAAGCUAUUUAGGUAGCGCCUCGUGAAUUCAUCUCCGGGGGUAGAGCACUGUUUCGGCUAGGGGGCCAUCCCGGCUUACCAACCCGAUGCAAACUGCGAAUACCGGAGAAUGUUAUCACGGGAGACACACGGCGGGUGCUAACGUCCGUCGUGAAGAGGGAAACAACCCAGACCGCCAGCUAAGGUCCCAAAGUCAUGGUUAAGUGGGAAACGAUGUGGGAAGGCCCAGACAGCCAGGAUGUUGGCUUAGAAGCAGCCAUCAUUUAAAGAAAGCGUAAUAGCUCACUGGUCGAGUCGGCCUGCGCGGAAGAUGUAACGGGGCUAAACCAUGCACCGAAGCUGCGGCAGCGACACUAUGUGUUGUUGGGUAGGGGAGCGUUCUGUAAGCCUGUGAAGGUGUGCUGUGAGGCAUGCUGGAGGUAUCAGAAGUGCGAAUGCUGACAUAAGUAACGAUAAAGCGGGUGAAAAGCCCGCUCGCCGGAAGACCAAGGGUUCCUGUCCAACGUUAAUCGGGGCAGGGUGAGUCGACCCCUAAGGCGAGGCCGAAAGGCGUAGUCGAUGGGAAACAGGUUAAUAUUCCUGUACUUGGUGUUACUGCGAAGGGGGGACGGAGAAGGCUAUGUCGGCCGGGCGACGGUUGUCCCGGUUUAAGCGUGUAGGCUGACUUUCCAGGCAAAUCCGGAAGGUUAAGGCUGAGGCGUGAUGACGAGGCACCACGGUGCUGAAGUGACAAAUGCCCUGCUUCCAGGAAAAGCCUCUAAGCAUCAGGUAACAUCAAAUCGUACCCCAAACCGACACAGGUGGUCAGGUAGAGAAUACCAAGGCGCUUGAGAGAACUCGGGUGAAGGAACUAGGCAAAAUGGUGCCGUAACUUCGGGAGAAGGCACGCUGACAUGUAGGUGAAGCCCCUGCGGGUGGAGCUGAAGUCAGUCGAAGAUACCAGCUGGCUGCAACUGUUUAUUAAAAACACAGCACUGUGCAAACACGAAAGUGGACGUAUACGGUGUGACGCCUGCCCGGUGCCGGAAGGUUAAUUGAUGGGGUUAUCGCAAGAGAAGCUCCUGAUCGAAGCCCCGGUAAACGGCGGCCGUAACUAUAACGGUCCUAAGGUAGCGAAAUUCCUUGUCGGGUAAGUUCCGACCUGCACGAAUGGCGUAAUGAUGGCCAGGCUGUCUCCACCCGAGACUCAGUGAAAUUGAACUCGCUGUGAAGAUGCAGUGUACCCGCGGCAAGACGGAAAGACCCCGUGAACCUUUACUACAGCUUGACACUGAACAUUGAGCCUUGAUGUGUAGGAUAGGUGGGAGGCUUUGAAGCGUGGACGCCAGUCUGCGUGGAGCCGACCUUGAAAUACCACCCUUUAAUGUUUGAUGUUCUAACCUGGCGCCGUGAUCCGGCGUGGGGACAGUGUCUGGUGGGUAGUUUGACUGGGGCGGUCUCCUCCCAAAGUGUAACGGAGGAGCACGAAGGUCAGCUAAUCCUGGUCGGACAUCAGGAGGUUAGUGCAAUGGCAUAAGCUGGCUUGACUGCGAGAGUGACGGCUCGAGCAGGUGCGAAAGCAGGUCAUAGUGAUCCGGUGGUUCUGUAUGGAAGGGCCAUCGCUCAACGGAUAAAAGGUACUCCGGGGAUAACAGGCUGAUACCGCCCAAGAGUUCAUAUCGACGGCGGUGUUUGGCACCUCGAUGUCGGCUCAUCACAUCCUGGGGCUGAAGUAGGUCCCAAGGGUAUGGCUGUUCGCCAUUUAAAGUGGUACGCGAGCUGGGUUUAGAACGUCGUGAGACAGUUCGGUCCCUAUCUGCCGUGGGCGCUGGAGAAUUGAGGGGGGCUGCUCCCAGUACGAGAGGACCGGAGUGGACGCAUCACUGGUGUUCGGGUUGUCAUGCCAAUGGCACUGCCCGGUAGCUAAAUGCGGAAGAGAUAAGUGCUGAAAGCAUCUAAGCACGAAACUUGCCCCGAGAUGAGUUCUCCCUGAGACUGUAAGUCUCCUGAAGGAACGUUGAAGACGACGACGUUGAUAGGCCGGGUGUGUAAGCGCAGCGAUGCGUUGAGCUAACCGGUACUAAUGAACCGUGAGGCUUAACCUUAC
rnacentral:rRNA from 1 species